CCGUCUGCGGUUUCCAUGGCAACGCCAUUGUUACAUCAAUUGUCUGCCAUGCUGCGAUUCGUAGCCGUCGUCAGUCGUUGUAGCCCGCCGGACCACGUUCGGAGGAGAUCCCUGCAUAUCCAACGGCGGACGGCUGAAAAAAAAUCAUUGCAGCCUGUCAUAAGUACUCAUGUCAGCACUGGUACUUCCGGCCGAUCUGCCGCGCGACGCGCUGCUUCUACCUGCGGAGAAAUGGCAGGCCAUCCGCGGCCACCUGACUGGGCAGCAGGAGCGACAGCAGCGGCGACAGCAGGAGCAGGAGCACGAGCUGCGACGGCGUGCGGUCUCUGCGCACAUCCGACGCGACUGGCCUCGUGACGGUCAGUCGUGAAACGUCAUGUUGGGAGUGCAGAUGACUGCCCGCUGCAGGGUGUUGAGCGCGUCAUCCCGGUAGAGGGCCGAGAUGGUGGUGGGCGUUUCAGCCGCCUCCACUCCGUCCGCUCCGGUUCGAGGAGUCAGC